AAACAUGGAUAAACAUACUAGUAUUUUUCCACAGAGUCAGAACAUAUUGAAUAGCGAUAUAACAUCUCAACUAUCAGGAGAAGCAGCGUGCUGUGUGCUAUGAGGACCUAAAGCACUUGUUCAGAGCCAAUUUCUUUGAGGAAUUUGCAACUACCCUGAGAUCUGGAGAAGGACAAGAUUGUAACAGGCAACAGAGAAGAAAGACUACAAAGACCCAAGUCAAGGUCAUGGGCAUUAUGGAUGAAACCAAAGCCUGAAGAAAGGCACUUCUGCUGUCCACCCUGAGAAGAUGCCCCAGAAGGACCUGAACAACAGCUGCUGCAGCUGUCUUUGGCCUUUCAGCCUCCAAAAAGGGAACUGGAAGUCCCACCUACUCCUUCCUCCCAGCAAUUGGUCCAUGGCUUCUUUACUGACAGAUCAAGAACCAACUGGGGAACAGGACCAUAACAUCAGCAUCGCCCCUACAGUUGACAGACUGAAAAAGUCAGGACAGUGAUACAAUCAUCCUGGUGGAGAACCAGGGACCUUUAAGCCAUUUAGAAAUGCAGAAAGAUAAGCUGAGAUGGGAAGUUAUCUGGGGCCGCACUUGAGUCCAAAAUCCCCAACACUUCAGCUCUGCUGUCUAGAUUUGUCCAUUGUAAUGUACUUAAGAAAUGGGGGGCGUGGGGAGGGAGGAUGGGGCAGGCCACAAUGCCAGUGUGCACUUGCUUGCCUAACGGUAAAAACAUGGAGAUGAUUUAUGCAUGAGAUUCCAGCACGACAGAAACUUCCCGUGUGUUUGCUGUACGUCUCUCCAUCUCAUGUGUGCUCAAGGAACGGGUCUGUCAUCCAGCUCCCGAUCAUGAAAGCAGAUUCCUGCUGCACAUAGGGAAAGUGUUUCUGUAGAAACAAAAUACACUCCACUUUUCAUGCAUCAAAUAUUUAUGGAGGGUUGUCAGGGGGCACCUGCCUGUAACCGCAGCACUUGGUGGGCUGGGAAGAUGAGAAUUUAAAAGUCACUCUAUACUACAAAGCAAUUUGAGGUGAGCCUGGGCUACAUCACACCUAUCUUAAAAAGGAAAAGCAAAUACACACAUGCACAAAGACAUACAUACAUACAUACAUACAUACAUAUAUAUAUACACAGACACACACACUAUAUAUAUAUUACAAAGCAAUUUGAGGCCAACCUGGGCUGCAUCUUACCUGCUGAGCCAUCUCACCAGCCCUCAGGAUGAUAUUUUCUAGUUCCAUUCAUUUGCCUGCAAAGCUCAUUCAGUCCUUGCUUUUAAUAGUUAAAUAGUAUUCCAUCAUGUAAAUGAAACACAUUUUCUGUAAUCAUUCUUUGGUAUAGAGACAUCUGGGUUGUUUCCAGCUUCUGCAUAUUAUGAAUAAAGCUGCUAUGAAGGUAAUGGAGCAUGUGUCCUUUUGGUAUAGGCAAGCAUCUUUUGGGUAUAUGUCCAGGAGUGGUAUAGCUGGGUCUUUAGGUAGAUUGAUUCCCAAUUUUCUGAAGAACUGCCAGGAUGAUAUAAAAACUGCCCUAUCAUAAAAAACAAACACACAUACACACAAACAUGCACAUAGACACAGAGACAGAUACAUACAGACAUACAUGCAUACAUAUAUACAUACAUAGACACACAUACACAUAUUAUAUGUACACAUACACACACACACACAUAUAUGGAGAGAGAGAAUGAGAGAGACAGAGACAGAGAGACAGAGACAGAGAAUUACCAUAAGUAGGGCAGUGAUCUAAGGAAAGGCUGAAGCGAUGCGGGGAUAUUGGACAAUUGUAGGAUAUAGUGGAAGGUGCUGUAAGGGUUGUGAGGGGCAAGCAUGGAUAGCCACGAGGAUGGUUUUUAAGGUUCAGCAGAGAAAGACACAGUAGGGGAGAGAUAGGAAAGUCAGAAGAUGGUAAGUGGGUGUAUGGAUGGGUAAGGAGAUGGGAAGGUGGGUCAGAAGAAGGAAGAAAGAACAGGCAAGCUGCAGAGAGGCUAGGAGGAAUGGGGAGGGGAAAGGGUUUGUUAUGGAGUCUGGUUGUAUGCAGCUUGGUGUGGCUGGUUAAACAACCUCUGCGAGGCUGAGUCUGACCCUUGAGGCCCACAGGGGUGGGAAAGUUGCCAGAGAGCGCGGCCGGAAGUAAAGCAUCAGCCAGGAUCCACACCAUCAAUGGUGCCCUGAUGCUGGGCUGAUGUCUUACUGCUCUGAUCCUUGCUGCAAGUACUGAGGAUAAACCAGGUUCCUCUGUCAGAAACUAAAGCCCUCACGUAUCUGGCCUUGGAGAAGCUGAAAAACAACUCCAGAGAACGGAGAGACCGUGCGGUCAACCCCAGACUGCCCAGGCGCCCUACAGCGCCUCACCACCAAGCCAGAAGUUCUGAGUAACUUAUAGAUCCUGAAACCCUACAGAGAAGAGGUCCCGCUCAGCAGAGACGGGCACUUCACAGGGGACUGGGGAGUUGAGGGGGUUAUAAGAGAAAUCAUUAGCUAAGCUAGGGUUCUUCAGGAGAUGUAGCUGAAAACGGUUGGUGACCAAUCAGUCCUGUGUGAGGUGAGUUUUAUAAGGGAGUCCUGAUCUUUUGUGAGCUAAGAGACACUGAGUAGAGGAGAUACGUCAGAAGAAACAAGAAAAACAAAGGUAAGGCUCUACAGACGGCAGCCUUCUCACCACGGUACCCAAACUCUCUUCCCAGUCUGUUUUUAAGUCUCCUUCUGGCAUCGAACAAGUCUUUUUUCUGAGCCGGCGAUGUUUCAUUUAGAAGUGGAAGGCACUGAGCUGAGCUGUACCUCAGACCCAUUUACUCCGGGACAGUAGAUGAGGCAGGUGUGUGCUCGGGUACUUCUGCAAGGAGGACCAUGUGUAAAGCGAGUCAGAGGUGGUUUAAGGAAAUGAAAUGAGUCGUCUUUCCGCAUGUAUGAGUGUGUGGAGACCUGACCAGGAUAAAACAACUACCAUUGUGUGCUUGUGCUCACUGCUCGUGGGUCAGGCCCUAGGACACACGGUACAGAUGGCUCCAUCCGGCCCUUUCCACGAGCUUUAGUGUUUGACGUGACUCAUUAAGAGAAGAUGGAAGUUUGUCUUCCCUAGGGAGGAGGGAGAGCAGCUUAUGUGGCUUAGCACUCGCUGGCACUCUCCUUUGUGUUAUGGUUUCGUUUUAUGUGUGUGAGUGUAGUUGUCUUAGUCAGGGUUUCUAUUCCUGCACAAACAUCAUGACCAAGAAGCAAGUUGGGGAGGAAAGGGU
rnacentral:lncRNA from 1 species